ACUACAUGCAGGUGUCAA
rnacentral:snRNA from 1 species